rnacentral:rRNA from 1 species
UACGGAGGAUGCGAGCGUUAUCCGGAUUUAUUGGGUUUAAAGGGUGCGUAGGCGGGAUGCCAAGUCAGCGGUAAAAAUGCGGUGCUCAACGCCGUCGAGCCGUUGAAACUGGCGUCCUUGAGUGGGCGAGAAGUAUGCGGAAUGCGUGGUGUAGCGGUGAAAUGCAUAGAUAUCACGCAGAACCCCGAUUGCGAAGGCAGCAUGCCGGCUUCCUACUGACGCUGAAGCACGAAAGCGUGGGGAUCGAACAGG